rnacentral:rRNA from 1 species
GCGCGCGUAGGCGGAUUAGUCAGUUAGAGGUGAAAUCCCAGGGCUCAACCCUGGAACUGCCUUUAAUUACUGCUAGUCUUGAGUUCGAGAGAGGUGAGUGGAAUUCCGAGUGUAGAGGUAGAAAUUCGUAGAUAUUCGGAGGAACACCAGUGGCGAAGGCGGCUCACUGGCUCGAUACUGACGCUGAGGUGACGAAAGUGUGGGGAGCAAACAGGAUUAGAUACCCUGGUAG